GCCAGGCGUGGUGGUGCGCACCUGUAAUCCCAGUUACUUGGGAGGCUGAGGCAGUAGAAUCGCUCGAACCCAGGAGGUUGAGGUUGCAGUGAGCGGACAUUGCGCCACUGCACUCCAGCCUGGGCAACAGAGUGAGACUCUGUCUCAA
rnacentral:SRP_RNA from 1 species